rnacentral:rRNA from 1 species
UACGGAGGGAGCUAGCGUUGUUCGGAAUUACUGGGCGUAAAGCGCGCGUAGGCGGCUUUGUAAGUUAGAGGUGAAAGCCCGGGGCUCAACUCCGGAAUUGCCUUUAAGACUGCAUCGCUAGAAUUGUGGAGAGGUAAGUGGAAUUCCGAGUGUAGAGGUGAAAUUCGUAGAUAUUCGGAAGAACACCAGUGGGGAAGGCCGCUUACUGGACCAACAUUGACGCUGAGGGGCGAAAGCGUGGGGAGCAAACAGG